rnacentral:rRNA from 1 species
AUUCCAGCUCCAAUAGCGUAUAUUAAAGUUGUUGCAGUUAAAACGCUCGUAGUCGGAUUUCGGGGCGGGCCGACCGGUCUGCCGAUGGGUAUGCACUGGCCGGCGCGUCCUUCCUUCCGGAGACCGCGCCUACUCUUAGCUGAGCGGGCGCGGGAGACGGAUCGUUUACUUUGAAAAAAUCAGAGUGUUUCAAGCAGGCAGCUCGCUCUUGCAUGGAUUAGCAUGGGAUAAUGAAAUAGGACUUUGGUGCUAUUUUGUUGGUUUCGAACACCGAAGUAAUGAUUAAAAGGGACAGUCAGGGGCACUCGUAUUCCGCCGAGAGAGGUGAAAUUCUCAGACCAGCGGAAGACGAACCACUGCGAAAGCAUUUGCCAGGGAUGUUUUCAUUA